UAAAAAGCUCUAUGAUAGAGGUUUGCUUCUUAUCUUCUCUCAAUACUUUUUGGCGCAUUUUCGUCGACAGAGGGCGUUCUCGUAGCGUCUGGUUUGCAGUCGCUCCCCGCUUCCUCUUUGUUCCUCGAUGCGCCUCCAGAGGGCGAUGUUCACCAGUAUGUGUAGAGUUUGAAUUUGUUGUGAUUUUCCUCAUUUUUCAUACGUGUCCUUCGACCCUCGAAGAAAAGCAAGACGUUUUUCUUGCUUCUUCCAAAGAUGGAUUUCAACCCUGCCCGUGUGUUUGGUCCCUGUCGCUGUCUACUAGUCCCCCGUCUUGUGUGGAGGCGCACGGUCAGAUUCUGUUCCGUGUCCGAGUGGACUUCUGUUUGCCUGUCUGCUGGCCGUGAGUCUCUGUCCCGUCCCGUCCCGUCUGGGUCUUUGUUUGCCAACCUUGGUCCAAGCUGCGUUUGGUCGCCCUGCUCCAAUCAGUUUGUGACAGUUUGGACUUUGCUUUCCUUCUUAUGUUGGAAGAAGAAAAAAGAAAAAAAAGGCGUCGGAGCAUUCAAUGCUUACUUUAUUGAAAAUAGAUGACAUUCUUCACAAUACAAAAUGAUACAGACUGCAUAUCAGGUCAAAUAUAAAAAAAAAGAGGAAGUACUAAAAAAAGGCUUUUCAUUCAUUUGAAGUUGGCAGGCUAGCACACAAAAUGAAGGCACAGCCGGUACGAUCUGAGAAGCAGAGUGCAUACGUUGCAUAUACAUAGAAGGACGAGCGAGCGCAGGAGCGUCCGGCCGGCUCGCCCGCCCGCGCCGCCUUUAGCAGCUAGCGCUAUGGCUAGCUAGCUAGCUAGCUAGCUAGCUUUAUUUUUUUUUUAACUGAGUGCUUUCACCCCUGCAACCUCAAGCAACCCAAGUGCAAAAAAAAAACCCCACGACAAAACCCAAUGAGGUCACAAAACAGUCUCAAGAGGAUGUUGAGCAGAAUGGGGCCGCAUCCCUCACGAUUUGCGGGUACUGGGGGGCGAAGAGGAGGGUGUUCCUUCCAGGCUUGGCAGGGAGAGAGGCAUGUGUCCGUUGAUUAGGCUGGGGAACUG